AGGGCUUCGGCCCUCUGGGGAGUGGCGCACGGGUGAGUAGCGCGUGGGAACCUGCCCUGUUGUGGGGGAUAACCGAGGGAAACUUCGGCUAAUACCGCAUGCGCCCGGGCAACCGGGGAAAGAUUUAUCGCAGCAGGAGGGGCCCGCGUCGGAUUAGCUUGUUGGUGGGGUAACGGCCUACCAAGGCUAUGAUCCGUAGCUGGUCUGAGAGGAUGAUCAGCCACACUGGGACUGAGACACGGCCCAGACUCCUACGGGAGGCAGCAGUGGGGAAUAUUGGACAAUGGGCGAAAGCCUGAUCCAGCAAUGCCGCGUGAGUGAGGAAGGCCUUAGGGUUGUAAAGCUCUUUCGGCGGGGACGAUGAUGACGGUACCCGCAGAAGAAGCCCCGGCUAACUUCGUGCCAGCAGCCGCGGUAAUACGAAGGGGGCGAGCGUUGUUCGGAUUUACUGGGCGUAAAGGGCGCGCAGGCGGCUAUCUUUGUCAGGCGUGAAAGCCCCGGGCUUAACCUGGGAACUGCGCUUGAGACGGGAUGGCUAGAGAUCGGGAGAGGAGAGUGGAAUUCCCAGUGUAGAGGUGAAAUUCGUAGAUAUUGGGAAGAACACCGGUGGCGAAGGCGGCUCUCUGGACCGAUACUGACGCUGAGGCGCGAAAGCGUGGGGAGCAAACAGGAUUAGAUACCCUGGUAGUCCACGCUGUAAACGAUGUGUGCUAGACGUUGGGGAGCCUAGCUCUUCGGUGUCGCAGCUAACGCGAUAAGCACACCGCCUGGGGAGUACGGCCGCAAGGUUAAAACUC
rnacentral:rRNA from 1 species